rnacentral:tRNA from 1 species
ACUAUCUUGGCAGAGUAGUGCAUUGAGGUUAGAACUCAAAUAAGUAAUUAAUUACAGUUAGUA